UUGCCAAGUGCUAGUUAGAGAUUGAGGA
rnacentral:piRNA from 1 species